GGGGCCUCGGUUCCUUAUAACUGACAAACUCCUCGGUAGUGCAAAAAUGUUUUCAUUUUCAGUUUGCAGUUUUUCAUGUGCCGCUUCUUGAGUAGGCGUUUGGGCAAAGUCUGUCUGCAUAAAAAGGCACAGAUUCCACAAUCAGAUCAUCUGACAGAGCUGGAACGCCUGCCUGCAGAGCUUCUCCUACUCCAACAGACGAAUUCCAUUCUUGGAUUUCCUGUCAUUCCGUUGCCAGGUUUUGUGCCUAUUUUCCCACACCGGUUCUUCCAGCGAUUCAACUGUCAACAUGUCCUUGAUCAGCAGUGAUUCCAUGA